rnacentral:lncRNA from 10 species
AGCAAUGCAACCCUACCAUGACCAACCAGACUCUUCCUUCUGGGAAGCAGAAUUUUGAACAGAAGGCCAACAGACUGGAAAUGGUUAUCAGCAUGAAAAUCAGCCUCUGUUUCUAAGAAAUUCUAAAAAUAUUACUCACCUAUGCCUAUCAUGUCCUGCCACAUUAUAAUCUUGGUUACAGCUCUCAAAAUGUCAGAGCAGAUCAUGAACUAAAGAUGUGUCAUAGGUAAAAUCAUUUAAAAGGCAAAUUCAACAUAAUGAACUGAAGAAAAAAAUCCAACCAUGAGAAUAGUUGAUGUUGACUAUAAUUAAAAAAAAAAUAGCAUUCUUUACAAAAUGCAAAACUGUAUGAGCACUAGGAUUAAAACUGCUAAUCCCUUUCUUUUCCCCAGACCUCCCCAGCUAGCCAUAAAUUCCAUCUGGCCCAUUGCAGGGGGCCCUGAUUGCCUCCUGCACUGCUGGAAUUCAGGCAGGAUGGAGAUAGACAGUUUUCACCCCAUGAGUUGGUGAGUUCAGAAAGAGUAUUGUGUUGCUCUGGACAAGCAAUCCUUCCAAAUUUUAGAAACAGUCUGGGGAUGUGUAUUCAAGAAAUCUGCUCCCUUUUCACGUUCUCCCUAGUCCCUUGGAAGGGACACCCAUCUGGGCUGUCCAUCUGUCCAGAAUUGGAUUGUGGUCGCCAAGUCGCUCUUCCCUUCCGGGUGAUUGAUUCAUGAUCAUCAGUGAUCUUCAUCACAUCCGCAGCUCCCCUGGGAGCCGAUAUAUAUUUUUAAAAAUUAACUGAGUGCCUUAACUAGUAGCUGUCGGUGAUACAGUGAGAGAGAAGACACUUCAAGACAGUUGGGAUGACAGACAAGUAAAAAGUAAAAGGAGCUACCAUGGGGAUGUGCAAGAGGCGGUUUGAAAACACCUAAUCUCCCCUCUACCCCCACCGACACCCCACUUGGAGGAUCAAGAAAGGAUUCCUAGGGGAAGUGACAGUUAAGCUAAGUCCCGUAGUAUCACCAGGAAUAUUAGAGGACCAGCCAGAUGAAGAGCAAGUAGGUAACUGGAGGAGCCCUGAGGAAGGACCUAGGGAGGGCAGAAUGAUGUCAUCCACAAGCAAGGAUCACUAUAUGGCAAGAUCCAGUUGGGAGACAGAGAUGGUGGGGAACUCAGAGAAGUGCAAAUGGCUGAGCAUAGCUGGAGAGAAAAUCAUCUGCCACGGAAGCCCUAGUCUGGCAGGAAAGAAGAGUCAUUAGGCAUCAUCUGGCAACUUGGCUUGGAGAAGUCAGAUCAGUCACCAAGAGUCUGGUGGGGCUGCAGCAAUGGCUAGAAAGAACCAGUGACAUGAUUGCCAGCCCAGCUUGAGCUCUGCUUCAGAUAAUUUAAGAUGUACCAGGUGGCACUUCAGGCUAGAAAACUCUGUGGUCUCCCAGCAACUUAAAGGAAGAUCUCCAACAUUAAGCCUUAGAUGUCAUUUCUGUCCUUAAAACAACAAAAAGCUGAAAAACCUGAAAUUCAAUGACUUUUCUUCGAUUCAUUGGACAACUGAAGUCAGGGUAAACUGCUACCCCAAAUCUG